GGUAGCUUAGCAUCAGGAUUUACAUUUGAGUGAGUGGCGAACUGGUGAGUAACACGUGGGAAACCUGCCCAGAAGCGGGGGAUAACACCUGGAAACAGAUGCUAAUACCGCAUAACAACUUGGACCGCAUGGUCCGAGUUUGAAAGAUGGCUUCGGCUAUCACUUUUGGAUGGUCCCGCGGCGUAUUAGCUAGAUGGUGGGGUAACGGCUCACCAUGGCAAUGAUACGUAGCCGACCUGAGAGGGUAAUCGGCCACAUUGGGACUGAGACACGGCCCAAACUCCUACGGGAGGCAGCAGUAGGGAAUCUUCCACAAUGGACGAAAGUCUGAUGGAGCAACGCCGCGUGAGUGAAGAAGGGUUUCGGCUCGUAAAACUCUGUUGUUAAAGAAGAACAUAUCUGAGAGUAACUGUUCAGGUAUUGACGGUAUUUAACCAGAAAGCCACGGCUAACUACGUGCCAGCAGCCGCGGUAAUACGUAGGUGGCAAGCGUUGUCCGGAUUUAUUGGGCGUAAAGCGAGCGCAGGCGGUUUUUUAAGUCUGAUGUGAAAGCCUUCGGCUCAACCGAAGAAGUGCAUCGGAAACUGGGAAACUUGAGUGCAGAAGAGGACAGUGGAACUCCAUGUGUAGCGGUGAAAUGCGUAGAUAUAUGGAAGAACACCAGUGGCGAAGGCGGCUGUCUGGUCUGUAACUGACGCUGAGGCUCGAAAGUAUGGGUAGCAAACAGGAUUAGAUACCCUGGUAGUCCAUACCGUAAACGAUGAAUGCU
rnacentral:rRNA from 1 species